AGGUUGAGAACCACUGCCAUAAAGACAGCAUAUUCUGUCCGACCUUGGAAGCUAAGCAUUGUCAGCCCUGGUGAGUACAGGAAUUGGAGACUGCCAAUGAAAAUUGGGUGCUGUAUCUC
rnacentral:rRNA from 1 species